UACGUAGGGGGCUAGCGUUGUCCGGAAUCAUUGGGCGUAAAGAGCGUGUAGGCGGCCCGGUAAGUCCGCUGUGAAAGUCGGGGGCUCAACCCUCGGAUGCCGGUGGAUACUGUCGGGCUCGAGUACGGAAGAGGCGAGUGGAAUUCCUGGUGUAGCGGUGAAAUGCGCAGAUAUCAGGAGGAACACCUAUUGCGAAGGCAGCUCGCUGGGACGGUACUGACGCUGAGACGCGAAAGCGUGGGGAGCAAACAGG
rnacentral:rRNA from 1 species